GGGUAAUUCAACUUGAAGGCUUCUGUCCAUGUUUCUGAACCUAUUCACAAUCACAAUUUUCAACAGUAGAAGAACCCAUUUUAUUAUGUGUUUUUUUGAUUGCAGAUCUGGGAAAGUCCCAGGGCAAGAGGCUGGUAGAACCUCAAUAAGAGCUUCAUCAUGUAGAGAUAUUCAGAAAAGGCUUCAGAAUUUUGCAGUUAAAAGAAAUUGUGUGACAUGGAAUUUACGCUGAAAUUGUCUACUUUGAAAAGCUGUCAGUCCUGGGUGACGGAUUGCAAUGAAAAUUGGUCAGUGCAAAAUGGCACAAGUGACUGAAGAACUUGGUGGAUGCGGCACAGAGGGGAGAGCAUGAGAUCACAAACUGGAGAAAGCCAAGUGAGUUAACAUUGCAAGAUGAGAAAAGCAAGUAUCAUAAACUCAGAGGAUGAAGCUGAAAUCAGAGUCAAGAGAUAGUGAUAUCAGAGCCAUAGGCUCAUGCAAAGACUACUGAAGAGUUGUAGCAGACGUUUGCAGGGGCUGGUACAAUUCAGACGAAAAGAUCAAGGAAUGGGAUCUAACAGAGCAAGAAUAUGGAGACGUGAGAGUCUGAGAGUCUAACAACAGGUGGUGGGUCUAUAACUGUGUCUUAGAGGAAUAUAAUUCCUCAUCUCUGGAAAAAGGAAGGAUGAUGUCUCAGAAUUGGGUAGUACUUCCUAGACUAGAGAAAGGCACAACACUGAGGUGUUUUGGGUAAAUCGUUUCAAUAAGGGGAAGAUUAAGUCCCCCUGGGAUGUUGACUUCUUGACUGGCAUAUUCUGAGUAAUAUUGAUAUAAUACUGGUAGUUGGUAAGGCUUACUUGGGAAUUAUGACAUAAAAUAAGUACUAAAUGACUUGUUUAGGUACCAGAUACCAGCUAAAUUGCCCAUGAUCCGGAGUCUCAGAUAUUAAUAUUUACCCAUCUUCUAAUAGCAUUAUUUGGUCUUGCUUUUCGACAAUCUUAAAAUGCAUCUCUGCUGUAAAUAAAGAGAAAACCACGAAUGACUAUAGAUCUUCCAGUUUGAGGCUAGUAUUCUUAUGAAAAGAAGCAAUUCAUUUUCCCAAUACAACCCAUUCCUGCUCAGCACUCAUAGCCCUUGCUGUGUCAGAAAACUCCAAUUUCUAUGGCAAGAUGAGAGUUGCCAACCACUUGCUAAGGUCAGUAACGUGAUUCAUGGAAGCAAACCCGGAAAUUCUUGGAAAGGCUAGGUGCUGAUUUAUGCAGUUGGUCUGAUGACAGACACAGCAGAUAGCUCAGAAAGACAUUGGAACACUACAUGUGGAUUUUUCCACAAACAGGAAUCAUUCUUGAAAAGUUUAUUCAGUGUAUUGGACAUGGUAGUCUUCUUCCCUAUCAUGAAUGAAUGCCUCCAUUGACCUGUGUCAAAAGACUAAAUCCCACAUUAGUUUCAGAAAUCUCAAACAGCAGAGCUUUAAAACAGAUACAAGUGUUUUCUUCUUUUGAGAAAUAUUUGAAACUCUGGCAAGGGUCUUGAACUACAAUUUGUAUAAAUUGGGAUGCAUUCACGGAAAAAGAGGCUAUUGUGCAAACUCCUGGGAUGCAGGGAUACUGACAUAAAAAUGAGUAAAUUUAGAGUUUUCUUCUCCUGCUGAUUGAAUUUACCUGAUGAGCUGAGAUGAAUCAUGUAUUGUCUUUGUAUCUCAACUUUUUCCUUUGAAAAUGUAAUAAGGUUGACAUACAGUAUAAAUUAAGAGUUUGUUUCUAGUCCAU
ensembl:lncRNA